rnacentral:rRNA from 2 species
AAAUGCGAUACAAGGUGUGAAUUGCAGAAUCCCGUGAACCAUCGAGUCUUUGAACGCAAGUUGCGCCCGAAGCCAUUCGGCCGAGGGCACGCCUGCCUGGGUGUCACCAA